rnacentral:rRNA from 1 species
UACGUAGGGGGCAAGCGUUGUCCGGAUUUAUUGGGCGUAAAGAGCGUGUAGGCGGUUAGGUAGGUCCGUUGUGAAAACUCGAGGCUCAACCUCGAGACGCCGAUGGAAACCAUCUGACUAGAGUCCGGAAGAGGAGAGUGGAAUUCCUGGUGUAGCGGUGAAAUGCGCAGAUAUUAGCAGGAACACCGGUGGCGAAGGCGGCUAUCUGGACGACAACUGACGCUGAGGCGCGAAAGCGUGGGGAUCAAACAGG